GUCUUGGGCAUUGAUAACCCAAAUACAAUCACUGAAUAUGCCCAUCUUGCCCUGUACUGCUUUGCCAACAGUCAGGUGUCCAGUGCUCUAAGGUUGAUAUACAGAACACGAUAUCUGGCUUUACUUUGUCACGGAGAGGAUCAUCCAGAGGUGGCACUGAUUGAUAGCAAUGUUGGACUGAUUCUCCACGCUGUCGAGGAGUUUGAUUUGUCCCUGAGGUUCCUGGAGCAUGCUCUGG